UAGGGAAUCUUCCGCAAUGGGCGAAAGCCUGACGGAGCAACGCCGCGUGAGUGAUGAAGGUCUUCGGAUCGUAAAACUCUGUUAUUAGGGAAGAACAAAUGUGUAAGUAACUAUGCACGUCUUGACGGUACCUAAUCAGAAAGCCACGGCUAACUACGUGCCAGCAGCCGCGGUAAUACGUAGGUGGCAAGCGUUAUCCGGAAUUAUUGGGCGUAAAGCGCGCGUAGGCGGUUUUUUAAGUCUCAUGUGAAAGCCCACGGCUCAACCGUGGAGGGUCAUUGGAAACUGGAAAACUUGAGUGCAGAAGAGGAAAGUGGAAUUCCAUGUGUAGCGGUGAAAUGCGCAGAGAUAUGGAGGAACACCAGUCGCGAAGGAGACUAUCUGGUCUGUAACUAACGCUGAUGUGCGAAAGCGUGGAGAUCAAACAGG
rnacentral:rRNA from 1 species